rnacentral:rRNA from 1 species
AUGUGUUCAGUCUUUCGUUAUGCAGUAGCCAUACAAAAAAAACAUUGUUGGCCACCCUUGAUGACUAAAACAGAGAGAGUGGGAUCAUCAAUUCCUUGGUAUCUCUAUCCUCAACCAAACUACGGACCAUCCAACCUUCGGUCAGGUUCACUAUUCUUCAAUCUUAGUGCUGCAUAUUCCUAUUUGAAUGAUACUUGGUGCAUAAAAUUAGUGAUUUGGAAAAUUCUUUUUUUUUCUUUGUUACGAACAAAUCUGCAACUCUGUAUCCUAUUUCUUGCCACUGUUUUGUGUUAUUUUGCUCACACAGAAUGGCCAUGUUUAUCUUAA